AUGAACGCUGGCGGCGUGCCUAAUACAUGCAAGUCGAGCGAACAGACGAGGAGCUUGCUCCUCUGACGUUAGCGGCGGCCGGGUGAGUAACACGUGGAUAACCUACCUAUAAGACUGGGAUAACUUCGGGAAACCGGAGCUAAUACCGGAUAAUAUAUUGAACCGCAUGGUUCAAUAGUGAAAGACGGUUUUGCUGUCACUUAUAGCUGGAUCCGCGCCGCAUUAGCUAGUUGGUAAGGUAACGGCUUACCAAGGCAACGAUGCGUAGCCGACCUGAGAGGGUGAUCGGCCACACUGGAACUGAGACACGGUCCAGACUCCUACGGGAGGCAGCAGUAGGGAAUCUUCCGCAAUGGGCGAAAGCCUGACGGAGCAACGCCGCGUGAGUGAUGAAGGUCUUCGGAUCGUAAAACUCUGUUAUUAGGGAAGAACAAAUGUGUAAGUAACUAUGCACGUCUUGACGGUACCUAAUCAGAAAGCCACGGCUAACUACGUG
rnacentral:rRNA from 1 species